CUUUCUUUUCUGUUCAUCUCCUCUUCUCAGAACCCUAACUCAGCCAAGCACUGCCAUAACCUCCAUCUUCUUCUCUAUAUCCAUGGAGCGUACGGAGCUUGCUGUUGAGAACAACGAUCUGCCUCGUCCUCCGCCGGAUCUUGCUGUUGAAGAGUACUACGAUCUGGGAUUCUCUGAGGUUACUUUCGAUAUAAACUAGAAGCUGGAUAAGCUUGUCUCGAUUGUGGUAGGCAGGAAUUCGCUUUCCCCUCCUUCGCAGGAGCCACCAACUGACUAUGAAAUUGGCAAUAUGGAGCUGCUCGAGAUUCUUUGGAAGGCGAGUGGGAAGCUUGACGGACUGUUAU